GUGUUUGCUUCAGCAGCACAUAUACUAAAAUGGGAACAAUACAUAGAUUAGCAUGGGGCCUGUGCAAUGCAAAUUUGUGAUGCAUUCCAUAUUAAA
rnacentral:snRNA from 1 species